AUUGAACGCUGGCGGCAUGCCUUACACAUGCAAGUCGAACGGUAACAGGUUAAGCUGACGAGUGGCGAACGGGUGAGUAAUGUAUCGGAACGUGCCCAGUCGUGGGGGACAACGUAGCGAAAGCUACGCUAAUACCGCAUACGAUCUAUGGAUGAAAGCGGGGGAUCGCAAGACCUCGCGCGAUUGGAGCGGCCGAUAUCAGAUUAGGUAGUUGGUGGGGUAAAGGCCCACCAAGCCGACGAUCUGUAGCUGGUCUGAGAGGACGACCAGCCACACUGGGACUGAGACACGGCCCAGACUCCUACGGGAGGCAGCAGUGGGGGAAUUUUGGACAAUGGGCGGCAAGCCUCGAUCCAGCAAUGCCGCGUGCAGGA
rnacentral:rRNA from 1 species